rnacentral:rRNA from 1 species
AAUGAACGCUGGCGGCGUGGUUAAGACAUGCAAGUCGAACGGUUUUUAUUGAAGGGCAACCGGAUAUAAAAGCAGUGGCGAACGGGUGCGUAACACGUGAACAAUCUACCUUUAAGUGGGGAAUAGCUCGCCGAAAGGCGAAUUAAUACCGCAUGUGGUCGGGACUCGCAUGAGUCUUGAACUAAAGUCAGGGACCGCAAGGCCUGACGCUUAUAGAGGAGUUCGCGGCCUAUCAGCUAGUUGGCGAGGU